rnacentral:lncRNA from 1 species
UGGGCGUAUCGAACGACACCCCGUAUCCCGACUGGAGAAUCUCCUUUCAGCUUGGCCUAUGGGACGGAGGUGAUGAUCCUGCUCGAGAUUGGGCUACCAUCGACUAGAGUCGAGCAAUACUGCGAGUCGGGCAACUCCGAGUGUCGGAGAGCCGACUUAGACCUCCUACCCGAACUCUGACGAGAGGCUCAAUUCCGCAUGGCUUCCUACUGAUAAAGAGUGGCCCGAUACUACAAUGCUAAGGUUAAGUC